GUAACACGUAGUCAACCUGCCCUGGAGACAUGGAAAACCCCGGGAAACUGGGAUUAAUCCGUGAUAGGUCACCUCAUCUGGAAGGAGAGAUGGCUUAAAGGGGUGCGAGAGCUUCUUUCUUGCAUUCGCUCCAGGAUGGGACUGCGGCCGAUCAGGCUGUUGGCGGUGUAAUGGACCACCAAACCUGUAACCGGUACGGGCCUCGAGAGAGGGGGCCCGGAGAUGGACACUGAGAGAAGGGUCCAGGUCCUACGGGGCGCAGCAGGCGCGAAACCUUCGCAAUGCGCGAAAGCGUGACGAGGUUAAUCCGAGUGGUCCCCGCUGAGGGGAUCUUUUGUUGGCUGUAAAAAGGCCGAUGAAUAAGGGGAGGGCAAGUCUGGUGUCAGCCGCCGCGGUAAUACCAGCUCCUCGAGUGGUCGGGGCGAUUAUUGGGCCUAAAGCAUCCGUAGCCGGUUCUGUAGGUCCUCUGUCAAAUCCAACGGCUUAACCGUUGGCCCGCAGAGGAUACCGCAGGACU
rnacentral:rRNA from 1 species